GACGAACGCUGGCGGCGUGCUUAACACAUGCAAGUCGAACGGAAAGGCCCUGCUUUUGUGGGGUGCUCGAGUGGCGAACGGGUGAGUAACACGUGAGUAACCUGCCCUUGACUUUGGGAUAACUUCAGGAAACUGGGGCUAAUACCGGAUAGGAGCUCCUGCUGCAUGGUGGGGGUUGGAAAGUUUCGGCGGUUGGGGAUGGACUCGCGGCUUAUCAGCGUGUUGGUGGGGUAGUGGCUUACCAAGGCUUUGACGGGUAGCCGGCCUGAGAGGGUGACCGGCCACAUUGGGACUGAGAUACGGCCCAGACUCCUACGGGAGGCAGCAGUGGGGAAUAUUGCACGAUGGGCGGAAGCCUGAUGCAGCAACGCCGCGUGCUGGAUGACGGCCUUCGGGUUGUAAACCGCUUUCGCCUGUGACGAAGCGUGAGUGACGGUAAUGGGUAAAGAAGCACCGGCUAACUACGUG
rnacentral:rRNA from 1 species